rnacentral:rRNA from 1 species
UACGGAGGGUGCAAGCGUUGUCUGGAUUUAUUGGGCGUAAAGGGUGCGUAGGCGGUUUGAUAAGUCUUGUGUGAAAUCUCUGGGCUCAACCCAGGGUCUGCAUAGGAAACUGUCGGGCUUGAGUAUGGGAGAGGUGAGUGGAAUUUCCGGUGUAGCGGUGAAAUGCGUAGAUAUCAGGAGGAACACCUGUGGCGAAAGCGGCUCACUGGACCAUAACUGACGCUGAUGCACGAAAGCUAGGGGAGCAAACAGG